AAAACCCCUCUCUCCCUCUCUCCCUCUCUCUCUCUCUCUCUCUCUCUCUCUCUCCUCUGCGUAUUACUGUUGCCGACGACGCAGGAGUACUUUCCGGCCACCAUUUUUAGCCACGCGCCGGACCGUUGGAUUCAGAGGCCUCCGAACUAUCGACCCACGCGGGAAUCUAGAGCUCACUCGCCGAUUAAACGCCUCAACCACUCGAUUUAAGUUCGGCCACCCCGCGACUUCAAAGUUGCGAUUCGGCCACCUCGGGCAUCCGUUUGCCGAUCCGUCACCACCAUCGUGUUCCUCGUGUUGUGGGCUUCAAAACCCAAUAACUUGUUCCUACAUCUACCAUAGUUGGGUGGUGGGCCCACCACGAGCCACCGCGAUCCACCGUAGACUGACGGUCGAAACUUAGUGUUCGAGGUUCCGAAGUACGUUUUGAGUCUCAGAAAAUCAUCGUUUGACUUGUUGUGGAACCCGAUCAUUUUGGAUUUGCAUGGAUUUGAUUGAUUGACUCUUGGUGAGGAAUUUUAAAAUAAGCUAAGGACCUAAGGUGUGGCUUUAGCUGUUGAGCAACUUGUGGAGCACGGACUCAGUAGCAAUGCAAUAAUGGUUUAGAGUUUUCAUAUGGCUGCCUUAAAUUUAAAGUAUUCAUACGUGUAAUAAUUUCUUCUAAUAAGUUUAUAUAAAAGUUUAAAUUUUUCUGUAUUUCUUCGUAUCAUUUUAUUUAAUUCUUUUGGUCAAGUGCCUUACAUACUCGUAAACCCUAGAAUUACGAGUAUGUGGCAGACGUACCCUACCUUAGGGACGUUAC